rnacentral:rRNA from 1 species
GACGAACGCUGGCGGCGUGCCUAACACAUGCAAGUCGAACGGAGAUAUGAUUUCGGUUAUAUCUUAGUGGCGAACGGGUGAGUAACGCGUGAGCAACCUGACUCUUAGAGGGGGAUAACACUCGGAAACGGGUGCUAAUACCGCAUAAUGCGAGAGGUUCACAUGGACUUUUCGCCAAAGAUUUAUCGGUAUGGGAUGGGCCUGCGUCUGAUUAGCUAGUUGGAGGGGUAACGGCCUACCAAGGCAACGAUCAGUAGCCGACCUG